rnacentral:lncRNA from 1 species
AGACUCCGCCCAGCCAGGAGUCCCCUGAAGGCUGCUGGAAAAAGAGCAACCUGGCACCCGGAAUAAUGACUCUGCCUGGAUGCUUAGAGCAGUGCGAGGGACUCCCAAGAAGCCCCUAGCCCACUUGGGGGACCAGGGAGGAUUAGGAGUUGGUGGUUGAGUACCGAAAGAGUUAGCUAGGCGAAAAGGGGCGGGAAGGGCCUCCUAGGCCGAAAUUGCAUGGAGGAAGAUCCUUAGGUAGAGGAAAAUGAGACCAGGCUUGUAGGCAGAAGCAGAUUUGCAGUGAAACAAAUGAAGCUUAAGUUUCGGGACCUGGCCGGGCGUGGUGGCUCACGCCUGUAAUCCCAGCACUUUGGGAGGCCGAGGCGAGCAGAUCACGAGGUCAGGAGAUCGAGACCCUCCUGGCUAACACGGUGAAACCCCGUCUCUACCAAAAAUACAAAAAAUUAGCCGGGCGAGGUUGCUGGCGCCUGCAGUCCCAGCUACUCGGGAAGCUGAGGGAUGGCGUGAACCCGGGAGGCGGAGCUUGCAGUGAGCCCAGAUCGCGCCACUGCACUCCAGCCUGGGCGACAAAGCGAGACUCCGUCUCAAAAAAAAAAAAAAAAAAAAAAAAAGUGGAGGCGUGAAUAACCCACCCCUUGUUUAGCGUACCAUCAAGAAAUAACCAUAAAAAUGGGCAAGCAGCCCUUGGAGCUGCUCUAUCUAUGGACUAUCCAUUCUUUUAUUCUUGUACUUUAAUAAACUUGCUCUCACUUUGCAUUGCGGACUCGCCCUGAAUUCUUUCUUGUGCGAGAUCCAUGAACCUCUCUUGGGGUCCGGAUCGGGACCCCUUUCUGGUAACAAUGCCUGUAAUCCCAGCCAAUCUCCCUGCCUUUUGAUCUCCCUGCCUCACUCCUACCCACCCUGAUAAUUGGCUGUUGAAUGAUCAUUUAAAAACACAGUUUCUGAUCAUGUCCCUCCUCUCCACUGGAUCCCUACUGGUGAUGUCAAAUGUUGUGGGGCCUAACGCUUCCGCAAUUUGAGAAGACAUAGUUAAGAAAAAUAAUACAAAACUUGGCCGGGCGCGGUGGCUCACGCUGCCCCCAGCCGAAAGCUUUUUCUUAUUUGGCAUUUGAAUGUGGAAUUUUGGAAUUUUCUUAUUGGCAACAAAUACUGUCAGUUAUUUUCCUUGAAGUGACAGGCUCACUUUGUUCAUUUUUCAAGAAAAAGGCUGGCCGGCACUGUGGCUCAUUCCUGUAAUCCUAGCACUUGGGAGGCCGAGGUGGGUGGAUCACCUGAGGUCAGGAGUUGGAGACCAGCCAGGCCAACGUGGUGAAACCCAGUCUCUACUAAAAAUACAAAAAUUAGUUGGGCAUGGUGGCUCAUGCCUGUAAUCCCAGCUACUUGGGAGGCCGAGGCAGGAGAAUAACUUGAAACCAGGAGGCAGAGGUUGCAGUGAGCUGAGAUCAUGCCACUGCACUCCAGGCUGGGCAACAGAGUGAGACUCUGUCUCAAAAGAAAAAUUCUAGUAUAUUAAAAUAUAAUUGAUUUUUUCUGUUGACCUUGUAUCCUGAGACCUUCCUAAACUCAAUUAUUACUUUUGGUAACUUUUUGGAAAUCUGUUCAGGUUUUCUAUGCAUAUGGUCAUGUCUUUUGUAAAUAAAGACACUUUAACUUCUUUCUUUUCUAUCUAUAUCCCUUUUUUUUUUCUUUGCUUUAUUCCACUGGCUAGGACUUCCAGUACACAGUUGAAUGUAAGUGGUGAUGGUAGGCAUCCUUGCCUUGUUCCCAUUCUUAAGAAGAAAGCAUUUAGUACUUCACCAUUAUAUAUGAUGUUAGCUGUAGUUUUGUGUGUGCGUGUACCUGCAUGUGUAUAGAUGUCCUUUCUUAGGUUUAGAAAGUUCCCUUCUGUUCCUAGUUUGCUGAGAUUUUAAAAAAUCAUGAUAGUUGUUGAUUUUCC